UACGUAGGGGGCAAGCGUUAUCCGGAUUUACUGGGUGUAAAGGGAGCGUAGACGGUGAGACAAGUCUGAAGUGAAAGCCCGGGGCUCAACCCCGGGACUGCUUUGGAAACUGCCUGACUGGAGUGCUGGAGAGGCAAGCGGAAUUCCUAGUGUAGCGGUGAAAUGCGUAGAUAUCACGCAGAACUCCGAUUGCGAAGGCAGCUUACUAAGCCAUAACUGACACUGAAGCACGAAAGCGUGGGGAUCAAACAGG
rnacentral:rRNA from 1 species